GCAGACGGAAGAGUUAGCCAUGUGGACAAACCUAAGGAAGCCUCUCCUAGGGAAACCUAGGCAGGAGAUGAGCCUCGUCUCUUCAGGAAAAGAAUUACAGACAGGAGGGGAACAGAUGGCUCAGUUUUGAGGAGACAAUUCCUGACUGUGGAGGCUUAACAAAGCUAAUAAAAGUGAUGAAAGGUAAUGCUGUGUCCUGAGAUAUGGCCCGGAGACCUGUGGACUGGGGUGGAAUUUGGUUUAUGCAAAGCCAGCCUUUGAGCUUUCAAAUCAGAGCAGCAAACACGUAAGGAACUCUUA
rnacentral:lncRNA from 1 species